AACGAACGCUGGCGGCAUGCCUAACACAUGCAAGUCGAACGAGACCUUCGGGUCUAGUGGCGCACGGGUGCGUAACGCGUGGGAACCUGCCCUUAGGUUCGGAAUAACUCCCCGAAAGGGGUGCUAAUACCGGAUAAUGUCUUCGGACCAAAGAUUUAUCGCCUUUGGAUGGGCCCGCGUUGGAUUAGCUAGUUGGUAGGGUAAAAGCUUACCAAGGCGACGAUCCAUAGCUGGUCUGAGAGGAUGAUCAGCCACACUGGGACGGAGACACGGCCCAGACUCCUACGGGAGGCAGCAGUGGGGAAUAGUGGACAAUGGGCGAAAGCCUGAUCCAGCAAUGCCGCGUGAGUGAUGAAGGCCUUAGGGUUGUAAAGCGCUUUUACCCGGGAUGAUAAUGACAGUACCGGGAGAAUAAGCUCCGGCUAACUCCGUG
rnacentral:rRNA from 1 species